CCUCAGGACUCUCCCCCUGCCUCGGAUUUCUCAUCUUGUGAAAGGUGAGGUGUUGUUGGGGCUCUGAGGUUCUGUCGGUUUCUCUUCCCUCCAAAUUCCUGGCACACGGAGCCCGCAAGGGGUUGAGAGAGAGCAGUGACUCCGCAGAAUUGAAAGGCAGAUUGCUAGCAAGCAAAUGAGGCUAGCCCAGGAAGCCGGAAGUGGGAAGCCCGGGGGCCCGGGCUGGCCGGCCGGGACUUAGAACAAGACCGGGCGAAGCCCCGCCCACCCUUUUGUCCGAUCGUCCAUCCAUCCACCUACCCAGACCUCCGAUCAGUCGUUCGGCACAUUUAGGAAGCACCUACUUUGUGCGAGGCACUAUGGAGGGGAGUGACCUGGCCCAUCCUCUCCCUCUCCCCACGACCCCCACAUUUUCUCUGGGGAGUGUGGUCGUGGGAACACUGGAUGGGGAGUCAAGGCCGGACUUAGGUCCGCCUGGUGGCCUAGGCAGGCUCCUUGGCCUCUUGGCACCUUGGCGUUCUGCUGCCCGGUACACAGAAGCCACAGCCAGCCAAUGAUGCUGCGUCCCCAGUAGCUGGCACCCGCCAUCUGGGAUCAAGCUGUGGAAAUAGGAUUGCCUCCCUCCGUCCCUUCCAGUGUCCCCCCUCCUUCCUCUAUUGGAUUUGCCCUUCUCCUGCCGGCCACCUUAGGUUUGUCGGGUGGUCCUGAGAUGCACGUCAUGAGGAAUCUCCUGAGAUGCACGUCAUGAGGAAUCUCCGACAAGCCCGAGGGACUGGGCACCCAGACUUCCCUAAUGGAGCCACUGGGGCCCGGAGGACAGGGCUCUGCCUAAGGACUCACAGCAGUGAGCGAUAGGGCUGGGAUUCAUCCUGGCCAAACUCAAGAGAAUUGAAUUCAUUCCAAGAUGUCACGGAACUCUCCCUGAGAGCGGACUGCAAUUUGGGGCAGAGGGCAAGGACUGAGCAGGACAGCCAGAGGUCGCUCCCUCCCCCACCACUUGG